rnacentral:misc_RNA from 1 species
UUUCCGUAGGUGAACCUGCGGAAGGAUCAUUAGUGAAAUGCAAGGGUGCUCUCUUUAGGGACCCGACCCAUCUCAUUUCUACACUGUGCACAUACACUUCAUUUUACUUCACAUUUUAUACACAAAAGUCAUAAGAAUGUAACAAGUCUCCUAACGGAGCAUGAAACAAUACAACUUUCGGCAACGGAUCUCUUGGCUCCCGCAUCGAUGAAGAACGCAGC